CUUUAGGUGAAACGUUCCUCUGCAGCUAUAGGACAUGUGAGUCUAAAGUUCCGCCUUGCAGUUCUGGAGUGCGGAGGUUUCGCUGAGCUUCUGGCUCCUGUGAUUGUGUAAUGCUGUAAGGUGCUUAAGGAGGCCAGAAGAGAGCACUGGAUACUGUGAAGCUGUAGUUACUGUGUGAGCUGACCAACAUGAGUACUGAGAACCAAACUGCAAGAAUACAUAUUUUCACUGCU